GGGUCAUUAGGUUGGUCGUGCCACCGGUACGUACUGGUCUCACUGAUUCCUCCUUCCUGAAGAACCGUAAUGCCAUUAAUUUGGUGUUGCGGGGAAACAGGACUGUUACUUUGAAAAAAUUAGAGUGUUUAAAGCAAGCUAACGCUUGAAUACAUUUGCAUGGAAUAAUGAAAUAGGACGAUCGAUCCUAUUUUGUUGGUUUCUAGGAUUGACGUA
rnacentral:rRNA from 1 species